rnacentral:rRNA from 1 species
GACGAACGCUGGCGGCGUGCUUAACACAUGCGAGUCGAACGGAAAGGCCCUGCUUUUGUGGGGUGCUCGAGUGGCGAACGGGUGAGUAACACGUGAGUAACCUGCCCUUGACUUUGGGAUAACUUCAGGAAACUGGGGCUAAUACCGGAUAGGAGCUCCUGCUGCAUGGUGGGGGUUGGAAAGUUUCGGCGGUUGGGGAUGGACUCGCGGCUUAUCAGCUUGUUGGUGGGGUAGUGGCUUACCAAGGCUUUGACGGGUAGCCGGCCUGAGAGGGUGACCGGCCACAUUGGGACUGAGAUACGGCCCAGACUCCUACGGGAGGCAGCAGUGGGGAAUAUUACACAAUGGGCGGAAGCCGGAUGCAGCAACGCCGCGUGCGGGAUGACGGCCUUCGGGUUGUAAACCGCUUUCGCCUGUGACGAAGCGUGAGGGACGGUAAUGGGUAAAGAAGCACCGGCUAACUACGU